rnacentral:pre_miRNA from 1 species
UCAGAGGUGAGGGGGUCCCUCAGCCCGGACUGCGAGAGGGCGCAGGCCAGGCCGAGGGACCCCACUGGUGCCGG